AGUGAACGCUGGCGGUAGGCCUAACACAUGCAAGUCGAACGGCAGCACAGUAAGAGCUUGCUCUUACGGGUGGCGAGUGGCGGACGGGUGAGGAAUACAUCGGAAUCUACUUUUUCGUGGGGGAUAACGUAGGGAAACUUACGCUAAUACCGCAUACGACCUACGGGUGAAAGCAGGGGAUCUUCGGACCUUGCGCGAUUGAAUGAGCCGAUGUCGGAUUAGCUAGUUGGCGGGGUAAAGGCCCACCAAGGCGACGAUCCGUAGCUGGUCUGAGAGGAUGAUCAGCCACACUGGAACUGAGACACGGUCCAGACUCCUACGGGAGGCAGCAGUGGGGAAUAUUGGACAAUGGGCGCAAGCCUGAUCCAGCCAUACCGCGUGGGUGAAGAAGGCCUUCGGGUUGUAAACCCCUUUUGUUGGGAAAGAAAAGCAGCAGGUUAAUACCCCGCUGUUCUGACGGUACCCAAAGAAUAAGCACCGGCUAACUUCGUG
rnacentral:rRNA from 1 species